UGAGCUAUGAGGUAAGGUUCUUUCUGUG
rnacentral:piRNA from 1 species